UACAGAGGGGGCAAGCGUUGUUCGGAAUUACUGGGCGUAAAGGGCGCGUAGGCGGCCCGCUAAGUCGAACGUGAAAUCCCCGAGCUCAACUCGGGAACUGCAUCCGAUACUGGAUGGCUUGAAUCCGGGAGAGGGAUGCGGAAUUCCAGGUGUAGCGGUGAAAUGCGUAGAUAUCUGGAGGAACACCGGUGGCGAAGGCGGCAUCCUGGACCGGCAUUGACGCUGAGGAGCGAAAGCCAGGGGAGCAAACGGG
rnacentral:rRNA from 1 species